rnacentral:rRNA from 1 species
GAAUCUUAGACAAUGGGGGAAACCCUGAUCUAGCCAUGCCGCGUGAGCGAUGAAGGCCUUAGGGUUGUAAAGCUCUUUCAGUGGGGAAGAUAAUGACGGUACCCACCGAAGAAGCCCCGGCUAACUCCGUGCCAGCAGCCGCGGUAAUACGGAGGGGGCUAGCGUUGUUCGGAAUUACUGGGCGUAAAGCGCACGUAGGCGGACCGGAAAGUCAGAGGUGAAAUCCCAGGGCUCAACCUUGGAACUGCCUUUGAAACUCCUGGUCUCGAGGUCGAGAGAGGUGAGUGGAAUUCCGAGUGUAGAGGUGAAAUUCGUAGAUAUUCGGAGGAACACCAGUGGCGAAGGCGGCUCACUGGCUCGAUACUGACGCUGAGGUGCGAAAGCGUGGGGAGCAAACAGG